AAAAAAAAAGAAACCUAACAUAAGAAGUAGGAGGGGGACUUUAAUUUUGAAAUGAAAAGCACUUGCUUGCCAAUUUAGAUGUCAGUGGAGGAAUGUACUUGGUUAAGGAAGUUAAUGAAUAUUCAGGCAUUCUAUGGUAUCAUCUUCUUUUCCUUUCAACUCCUACAGCACUGACUGGUUAUAUGGACUUCUGAAAGUAUUUCUCUUCCUUUCUUCAAAUGGCAUCUAGCCCUAUAGGAUGAAAUUAAGGAUGGCAUUUCCAGGCACAAAAAGCACCUGUUGGUAAAACUUCUCUCUGUAAUGAAGGCCAUCUGGAAAGAGACAAAGGAGCAGUGGAUUCAUAGUGCUGGCACCAAGCUCCAGACAUAAUCCUGAUGGAAAAAAGAAGAAGAAGAAGAAGAAGAAGAAGAAGAAGAAGAAGAAGAA